GACAAAAGCAAUAUGGUGCUUUGCCUAAUCACAGAUGCAUUGAUCAAAGAUAUUAAUUACUAUAAUAUUAAUUAUUAUAAUUUUUAUAAUAUUAUAUCAUAAACUUAGGUGUUAGGUUUUGAUAUAUAUGUGGUGGUCAAGUUCGAGGGUGAUGGUUUGGGAUUUGAUGGCAGUGUAUAUAAGAUCUGAGCUUGAGGUAUUAAAAGACUGAGAUCGAAGUGAAAGAACAGAGAUGCAACUUUGUCUGCAAUGAGAAGCGAUUCUGAUAAUGCAUCAGAUUCUCUAGAGAACUUAAAAGUAAUUAAACUUGAGGACCUUAGAUGAUUUUAGGAGUAAGUGGACUGCAAUACGAGGAAAUUGAGUUUGGUGAUUUGCAUAUGGAAGGUGGUUUAGGAGUUGUCCCAUCACGAGUUUCUAUGCUGUCAUGACCAAGGAGUAAGUGGACUGACAUACCAAGUAUGAUGCCAUAUAUUGGUGGAUGGGUUUGGUAACAAUAUGCCCCUGGUUUUUAUGCUACACCAUGUGUAUGUGAGUUUAUUAUAUACUUUUAGACCCUUCUGUAACUCUUUAUUGUUUCCAUCUCUCCAACAAUGUCUUCCACAGCAUUUGUGGCUAAGUUCAUGAGCAUCUACAAGGGGUUCCUCAUUGCAACAUUUUCCUGAAUGAUCGCGAGCAGGAGUAACCCCACUAAAAGUUUUUGACAUUGGGAGGACUCUUCAUGUUUGCAUCGUCACCAAGCAGCUGAUGUUUAGCUUGAUCCCUUUGUUUAUUUUCUUUCUAAUAUGGUGGAAAAACCUGUGAAUUGUAUUAAUCUAGCGGCCCCAAACCUUGUAUUCCCAAAGAUUAAAAAAGGGACCUUGUCUGCCAUACAACGAAGAAGAGUUAAUGAA